UUACGGCCGUAUCAAGUUGAAACACGGGUUCUCGUACAAUCACCGCAGUUAAAAAAUGUCGAGCCUGGUCAGUACCUAGAUUGGUGACCACUUGAGAAUAGCAGGUGC